GACGAACGCUGGCGGCGUGCCUAAUACAUGCAAGUCGAACGCAGUGGGGACGGGUGCGUAACACGUGGGUAACCUCCCAUCAGAGGGGAUAACACUUGGCAACAGGUGCUAAACCGAUACUGAUGGAUGAACCCGCGGGGCAUUAGCUAGUUGGUGGGGUAACGGCUCACCAAGGCCACGAUGCAUAGCCGACCUGAGAGGGUGAUCGGCCACACUGGGACGGAGACACGGCCCAGACUCCUACGGGAGGCAGCAGUGGGGAAUAUUGGGCAAUGGGCGAAAGUCUGAUCGAGCAAUGCCGCGUGAGUGAAGAAGGUUUUCGGAUCGUAAAAUUCUGUUGUUAGGGAAGCGGUACCUAACCAGAAAGCAACGGCUAACUACGUGCCAGCAGCCGCGGUAAUAC
rnacentral:rRNA from 1 species